UACGUAGGGUGCAGGCGUUAAUCGGAAUUACUGGGCGUAAAGCGUGCGCAGGCGGCUCCUUAAGUCAGAUGUGAAAUCCCCGGGCUUAACCUGGGAACUGCGUUUGAAACUGGGGGGCUUGAGUGUGGAAGAGGGGGGUGGAAUUCCAGGUGUAGCAGUGAAAUGCGUAGAUAUCUGGAGGAACACCGGUGGCGAAGGCGGCAUCCUGGACCGGCAUUGACGCUGAGGCGCGAAAGCUAGGGGAGCAAACAGG
rnacentral:rRNA from 1 species